rnacentral:rRNA from 1 species
UCAACCGAGAUUCCCCCAGUAGCGGCGAGCGAACGGGGAGCAGCCCAGAGCCUGAAUCAGUAUGUGUGUUAGUGGAAGCGUCUGGAAAGGCGCGCGAUACAGGGUGACAGCCCCGUACACAAAAAUGCACAUAUUGUGAGCUCGAUGAGUAGGGCGGGACACGUGGUAUCCUGUCUGAAUAUGGGGGGACCAUCCUCCAAGGCUAAAUACUCCUGACUGACCGAUAGUGAACCAGUACCGUGAGGGAAAGGCGAAAAGAACCCCGGCGAGGGGAGUGAAAAAGAACCUGAAACCGUGUACGUACAAGCAGUGGGAGCACGCUUAGGCGUGUGACUGCGUACCUUUUGUAUAAUGGGUCAGCGACUUAUAUUCUGUAGCAAGGUUAACCGAAUAGGGGAGCCGAAGGGAAACCGAGUCUUAACUGGGCGUUAAGUUGCAGGGUAUAGACCCGAAACCCGGUGAUCUAGCCAUGGGCAGGUUGAAGGUUGGGUAACACUAACUGGAGGACCGAACCGACUAAUGUUGAAAAAUUAGCGGAUGACUUGUGGCUGGGGGUGAAAGGCCAAUCAAACCGGGAGAUAGCUGGUUCUCCCCGAAAGCUAUUUAGGUAGCGCCUCGUGAAUUCAUCUCCGGGGGUAGAGCACUGUUUCGGCAAGGGGGUCAUCCCGACUUACCAACCCGAUGCAAACUGCGAAUACCGGAGAAUGUUAUCACGGGAGACACACGGCGGGUGCUAACGUCCGUCGUGAAGAGGGAAACAACCCAGACCGCCAGCUAAGGUCCCAAAGUCAUGGUUAAGUGGGAAACGAUGUGGGAAGGCCCAGACAGCCAGGAUGUUGGCUUAGAAGCAGCCAUCAUUUAAAGAAAGCGUAAUAGCUCACUGGUCGAGUCGGCCUGCGCGGAAGAUGUAACGGGGCUAAACCAUGCACCGAAGCUGCGGCAGCGACGCUGAUGCGUUGUUGGGUAGGGGAGCGUUCUGUAAGCCUGCGAAGGUGUGCUGUGAGGCAUGCUGGAGGUAUCAGAAGUGCGAAUGCUGACAUAAGUAACGAUAAAGCGGGUGAAAAGCCCGCUCGCCGGAAGACCAAGG